AUGUAUUACAACGACAACAACGCUCAUGUUGAAUUCAAGCUUUCAGAUGCCUUCAAAUCUUUUGCCACAUUGAAAGAAACGUUGAAUAAUUUGCUGUCUGAUUCCGAUGACAGAAGGUUAACAAAGGUAGAGUUUCAAGAGGAUUGGAUUGAUACAAAUGAAAGGGUGAAAUACAACCUAAUCGAGUUGAAGAAUGAUGAAGAUGUGAAGGCCAUGUGGAAAUCAUUUCGCCGUAGGAUAACUAAAGGUCCGAUCGAGUUGGAUGCGCAUAUUCGAAGACGAUAUAAUAAAGUGUCUGAAACGUCUAGAAUCAUUUGGUAG